CGUGGAUUGAUUUGUCUGGUUAAUUCCGAUAACGAACGAGAUUGGAGCUUAAUUAAAUAGAAAGAUCAUUUUCUUCUUCUUCCUUCGGGUUGAGGCGUGAUUCUUUCCUUCUUAAUGGGAUUUGCGGCGUUCCAGUCGUAAGAAACCCAGCUAUAACAGGUCUGUGAUGCCCUAAGUUGUCUGGGGCUGCACGCGCGCUACAAUGAAAAUUGCAGUGCGUGUGACCAUAACCGAAAGGUUUUGGUAAACGAGUCAAAUUAUUCCGUAUUUGGGAUCGAAUAUUGUAAUUAUUAUUCGUGAACGAGGAACUUCAAGUAAGUGUAAGUCAUCAGCUUACGCUGAAUACGUCCCUGCCCUUUGUAC
rnacentral:rRNA from 1 species